ensembl:lncRNA
CAGCAGGAAGAGACGGCUGAAGCGAUUCCUCUGACCCUCCAGCGGAGACAGGUGGCUGAAGCGGUUCCUCGGACCCUCCAGCGGAGACAGGUGGCUGAAGCGGUUCCUCGGACCCUCCAGCGGAGACAGGUGGCUGAAGCGGUUCCUCGGACCCUCCAGCGGAGACCGGUGACUGAAGCGGUUCCUCGGACCCUCCAGCGGAGACAGGUGGCUGAAGCGAUUCCUCGGACCCUCCAGCGGAGACAGGUGGCUGAAGCGGUUCCUCGGACCCUCCAGCGGAGACAGGUGGCUGAAGCGGUUCCUCGGACCCUCCAGCGGAGACAGGUGGCUGAAGCGGUUCCCCAGAACCCCCAGCAGGAACAACAGGUGGCUGAACGGGCCCCUCGGAGCUUUCAGCAGAGACAGGUGGCUGAACAGGCCCCUCGGACCCUCCAGCAGAACCAGCUUGCAGAACAGAUGAAGUGGGUGUGAUGUCAGAAUGUCCAGAGUCAAACUGCUCAACAGUUCUGUUGUGGCGGCGGCCAGAACGCCGUUUCCUUCGGGAUGAGGAAACAGGAACCGGUGGAGAAAAAGAGACGACCUCCUCAUCCUCUGACCACAUAGCUGCCAGGAAAAAGGCAGGUGAACGAGAACCCAGCUGGUGUGGGGAGGGAGAGGAAGUCCGUGGCAGCGUUGAAACAGAAGGAGAGUGUGCGUUGUCCUGGAGUAACGGUGGGGAAGAUGUAGAGAGAGAGAGAGCAAGCUCACCAGCCUUGACUUGCUCUCUCCAGGCAGUAAUGGUGUCGUCCAACUUAGUGUCCUUAGCAAACUGGCUAAGCCGGGGAUUAAACCGAAUGAUGGCCUCCACCGCACUCAGCCCCACUGCCAUGGUCCUCAAGUCAGGGGACUGGGCGAUGCGGUCAAGCAGGCUCACCAUCCGCUCCAUCUCAGUGUUGUACUCCGAGGAAAAAGAGUCUGCGGGGUCCAUGUUCUGGUCGCGAUCUUCUGUUAGGUGAGGCUGUGUGCAGGCAGUAAUUGGACCCAAAGUGCAGACUCCGGAGACAGAACUUAAACGAAAACAGCUUUAAUGCUGAACUCAACUCAAACAUAACAUAACUGGAAAAAGAUCAAAAAUAAACUAACACCAGCGGAUUGACAGAACACACAGCAAAAUAAACGGUAGAUCGCGACACAGACACCAAGAAACACAGGGC